rnacentral:rRNA from 1 species
GGGAUUGCCCUAGUAACGGCGAGUGAAGCGGCAACAGCUCAAAUUUGAAAGCUAGCCUUCGGGUUCGCAUUGUAAUUUGUAGAGGAUGAUUUGGGGAAGCCGCCUGUCUAAGUUCCUUGGAACAGGACGUCAUAGAGGGUGAGAAUCCCGUAUGUGACAGGAAAUGGCACCCUAUGUAAAUCUCCUUCGACGAGUCGAGUUGUUUGGGAAUGCAGCUCUAAAUGGGAGGUAAAUUUCUUCUAAAGCUAAAUAUUGGCGAGAGACCGAUAGCGCACAAGUAGAGUGAUCGAAAGAUGAAAAGCACUUUGGAAAGAGAGUUAAAAAGCACGUGAAAUUGUUGAAAGGGAAGCGCUUGCAAUCAGACUUGUUUAAACUGUUCGGCCGGUCUUCUGACCGGUUUACUCAGUUUGGACAGGCCAGCAUCAGUUUCGGCGGCCGGAUAAAGGCUCUGGGAAUGUGGCCUCCACUUCGGUGGAGGUGUUAUAGCCCAGGGUGUAAUACGGCCAGCCGGGACUGAGGUCCGCGCUUCGGCUAGGAUGCUGGCGUAAUGGUUGU